CAAUAGCGUAUAUUAAAGUUGUUGCGGUUAAAAAGCUCGUAGUUGGAUUUCUGCUGAGGACGACCGGUCCGCCCUCCGGGUGAGCAUCUGGUUCGGCCUUGGCAUCUUCUUGGUGAACGUAUCUGCACUUGACUGUGUGGUGCGGUACCCAGGACUUUUACUUUGAGGAAAUUAGAGUGUUUCAAGCAGGCAUACGCCUUGAAUACAUUAGCAUGGAAUAAUAAGAUAGGACCUCGGUUCUAUUUUGUUGGUUUCUAGAGCUGAGGUAACGAUUAAUAGGGGAUAGUUGGGGGCAUUGCGUAUUUCAUUGUCAGUAGGUGAAAUUCUUGGAAUUUUGUUAAAUGACUAGACUACUGCGAAAGCAUUUGCCAAGGAU
rnacentral:rRNA from 1 species